CAUCCACCUAAUUGGUGACCAAGAAGAAUCCAAGUAAUUCGAUGAAGAAGGAACAGUGGAUAACCAUGGGGGCUACAAUAGAUAUUGUGGUUGUUCUUGUUCCUAUAUUAGUACUCUGCUAUAUAUCUAUGGAGAACACGCUGCUUUAGAGGAAAUAAUGCAUUAAGUGCAAAUGAGAGGACCCAAAGUACACAAUCUGUAAUGUGUCAAUUGAAAACAGAAUCAGCAAUUAUUGACAAAAUCAACAAUGGAAAAGAGGAUUAUGUGUUACCUUUGUUCACUCUUUCUAGUAUACAAAUUGCUACAAGUUACUUCUCGGUUGCAAAUAAGAUUGGGGAAGGUGGUUUUGGACAUGUUUAUAAGGGUCGGUUACUUAAUAGGCAGAAGAUUGCUGUGAAAAGACUUUCUAGAAGUUCUGAACAAGGGUCAAAGGAGUUCAAGAAUGAGGUUAUAUUGAUUUCAAGGCUUCAACAUCGCAAUCUUGUUAGAAUUUUGGGUUGUUGUGCUCAAGGAGAAGAGAGGAUAUUAAUAUAUGAGUGCUUGCCAAACAAAAGCCUAUAUUCAUUUCUUUUUGGUGUGCUACUUCACUAACUUCAACCAAUCUAUAUUUUGUUCUUGUGAUUCUGUUUCUUUGUUCUUAGUGUCAUCAGGUGUAUCAAUAAUGUGUUUAAUGCAAAAUUUGGGACAGAUGAAAUCAAACGAGCUUUACUUGAUUGGAAAAUACGUGUCCACAUCAUUGAAGGAAUUGCUCAAGGACUUCAAUACCUCCACAAGUACUCUAGAGAAAGAAUCAUUCACAGAGAUUUGACAGCUAGCAACAUUUUAUUGGAU